rnacentral:lncRNA from 1 species
AGUUGCGAUCAUUCCAGCAAUAAUGCACCGGAUCUCAUCAAAACUCCGCAGUGAAUCGUGCUUGGGCGAGAGUGGUACUAGGAUUAGUGAUCCCUUGGAAAGUCCUUGUGUUGCAACCCUUUCUUUAUUUGUUUUUGUUUUUUUUUUUUUGGUUAUAUAUAUUUUUUAAUCAUUGAUUCAUUGGGCCCAAGUGGCCGUGUUCGCUGGAACGGGACUACGUGGGGGUCGGAGGCGUGAUAGCUUAAGGAUGACGAGAGGGACCGACUUUGUCAAAGGAAUGGCCUUGACGAAGGCGCACGGGCGAACGACGCGCACGAGAUGCGUAACGAAGGCCAUACAUGGGAGCCCAGGUGUGCGUGAGAUUAAGGCGUGGAAAGGUAUAAAGAAAUAAGGAGAUGAUAGUCUUUUAGUUGCGAUCAUACCAGAAUUAAUGCACCGGAUCUCAUCAGAAGUCCGCAGUUAAGCGUGCAUGGGGCGAUAAUAGUACUAGAAUGGGUCACCCCCUGGGAAGUCAUCGUGUUACAACCCU